rnacentral:siRNA from 1 species
GUAGGGCGAGCUGUUUGAUAG